CAGGCCUAGGUCAAGGGGAGGUGGAGGAGGAAGUGGAGCCUCUGCAAACAGAACUAGAUCCCCCUGAACUGUCACAACCCUUCCGGGUCAAGCUAGGGAGUCAGGUGGGAAGGGCCUGGACAGGAGAGGAUCUGGGCCAGCUGUGCCGGCCCACCGUCCUCAGAGCUCCUCCCUGAGGCCCAGCGCUAGGCAGUGAAGCUGCUCACAGCUUUCUAACGUAGGCUCCAAGCCAGGACACCAGCAAGGGCCCUGAGCACCUGCCAGAGCCCUCCAGGUAUGCCCCCUCCUGCAGCUGUGGUGCCAGGGCCUUGCCGAGCCAAGGACCUGUGAUGUCAGUGGGAGUCAGAGGAGCCUGGAAACCACUAGGCUAGAACUUGCUGCCUAGAACACGGGCCUGCUUGGAGGGGAAAGGCCGUGGAUGCUGUUGCCUGCUCCUCCGUCCCCUGUGACCGUGUUCAGCCCGCGAGGUGGUCUGCACAGGCCCUGUGAUGGCUUCACGCCGGCUCCACGCACAGCCUCUUCCCAAUCCCAAUGACUGUGCUUCAGUUCCAGGAAACAGACUGGAACUUGGACUGAGACCUCAGAGGAGUCAUUCUGAUGGGAGACUCGGCUGGAAGGAGGCUCCCUUGGGGAUCUGCCCCCGGGACAGCUCGGGGGACUUUGGUCCAAGGCACAGAGCAGGUAAGGACCAAGGAAUGGAAAUGAGCAUUUCCUAAGCCUUCACUCCCAGGAAUACCCCCAGUGGCCAAUAGGCUCGAAUGUGCACGGCGAGGAAGCAGUCAGCCACACGCCCCCCAUGCUGUGAUCCCUGACUUCCCUGAGGAGGACACGGUGGCCCUGGAGCCCUGUGACCCACUGGCCCUGCACUCUUUGCUCACUGAGCCCAGGCCACGGAGUCAGUGUGGGAGGAAGGGCGUCCGUCUCUAUCCCUCUGGCCUUGCAAUUCUUCCAUAAACCUUUACAUCUUCAAUAAAACUUUGGUCUCUGAACUGCUGA